rnacentral:rRNA from 1 species
AUUGAACGCUGGCGGCAGGCUUAACACAUGCAUGUCGAGCGGGGGAAGGUAGCUUGCUACCGGACCUAGCGGCGGACGGGUGAGUAAUGCUUAGGAAUCUGCCUAUUAGUGGGGGACAACAUCUCGAAAGGGAUGCUAAUACCGCAUACGUCCUACGAGAGAAAGCAGGGGAUCUUCGGACCUUGCGCUAAUAGCUGAGCCUAAGUCGGAUUAGCUAGUUGGUGGGGUAAAGGCCUACCAAGGCGACGAUCUGUAGCGGGUCUGAGAGGAUGAUCCGCCACACUGGGACUGAGACACGGCCCAGACUCCUACGGGAGGCAGCAGUGGGGAAUAUUGGACAAUGGGGGGAACCCUGAUCCAGCCAUGCCGCGUGUGUGAAGAAGGCCUUAUGGUUGUAAAGCACUUUAAGCGAGGAGGAGGCUACUUUAGUUAAUACCUAGAGAUAGUGGACGUUACUCGCAGAAUAAGCACCGGCUAACUCUGUGCCAGCAGCCGCCGUAA